CCUACGGGAGGCUGCAGUGGGGAAUAUUGGGCAAUGGAGGCAACUCUGACCCAGCAAUGCCGCGUGAAUGAAGAAGGUCCUCGGAUUGUAAAGUUCUUUAAUUAGAGACGUAGAAGAUGACGGUACUUGAGGAAUAAGCCACGGCAAACUAUGUGCCAGCAGCCGCGGCAAUACAUAGGUGGCAAGCGUUGUCCGGAAUGACUGGGUUUAAAGGGAGCGUAGGCGGUCUGUUAAGUUGGAAGUGAAAUCACGGGGCUCAACCCCGGAACUGCUUUUAAGACUGACGGACUUGAGUGUAAGAGGGGUAGGCGGAAUUCGUGGUGUAGCGGUGGAAUGCGUAGAUAUUAGGAGGAACACCGGUGGCGAAGGCAGCUUACUGAAUUAUAACUGACGCUGAGGCUCGAAAGUGUGGGUAGCAAACAGGAUUAGAUACCCGGGUAGUC
rnacentral:rRNA from 1 species